GACGAACCGUGCGAACGUUGUUCGGAUUCACUGGGCUUAAAGGGCGCGUAGGCGGUCCACCAAGUCUGGGGUGAAAUCGUUCGGCUUAACCGGACAAGUGCCUUGGAUACUGGUGGGCUGGAGGGAGGUAGGGGCAGCUGGAACUUCUGGUGGAGCGGUGAAAUGCGUUGAUAUCAGAAGGAACGCCGGUGGCGAAAGCGAACUGCUUGACCUCUUCUGACGCUGAGGCGCGAAAGCUAGGGGAGCAAACGGG
rnacentral:rRNA from 1 species